CAGUCGCCGCGGUAACACGGAGGGUGCAAGCGUUAUCCGGAUUUAUUGGGUUUAAAGGGUCCGUAGGCGGAUCUGUAAGUCAGUGGUGAAAUCUCACAGCUUAACUGUGAAACUGCCAUUGAUACUGCAGGUCUUGAGUAAAUUUGAAGUGGCUGGAAUAAGUAGUGUAGCGGUGAAAUGCAUAGAUAUUACUUAGAACACCAAUUGCGAAGGCAGGUCACUAAGAUUUAACUGACGCUGAUGGACGAAAGCGUGGGGAGCGAACAGGAUUAGAUACCCCCGUAGUCCCUGUCUCUUAUAA
rnacentral:rRNA from 1 species